GAACUUGCUGGGAUCAUCAAGCUUUCAACACCAUCCAGUUUCAGUCUAUUUGAAAGCAGAAAAGUUGUCAUUUGUACUAAGUCACCUGACCUUGGCAACGGUGAGUUUAAUGUAGUGACCAGUCGAUUGAAGCAUUAUGUUGCAUUCCCUUUGAUUUCAGUGGACAAGUUUUUCAAUGAUAUGCCUACCACAUCGCAUAUGAGUAAUGCAGGGCUGCCCAUUUUUGGAGGUUUGUGUCCUUGUCUCACAUAUGAUGCUCUUGUGCAUCUUUGGAGGGACAACAUGUCUAAUUUUGUUUCGGAUCUGUCACACAGGAAAUGGUUACUAUAAGCGUAGAUGGUUCUGUACUUGAUCUAAUAUCCAAAAUUAUGUUGUAUCUUUGACUUGGAUCACCUGGGAAGUUUUUGAAGGAAAAGAAAAAGGAUAGAGAUGUAGAAGGUAAGAUUUCUGUUGUUGGCAAUGAAUACAAUGAGGAUAACAAACCCUCAUAACCUGCUCCCCAAAAGAAUCAGUGUGAUUUAACAACUGAAUGAGAUGUGCUUUUUCUGCAGUCAGCAGUAGGUAUCCGAAUUCAACCGAGAGUGUAUAAUCCAAAGAUCAAAGUGCUAUUGGCCAAAAUCUGUAAACAAGUACUUGUGUUUGGGAGAUUUUCUUUGUGGUUCUCAUUUCCAUCCGUGGCUUGGUUUUAUUUUCACUUCUCAUUGGUAAUAUGUAGGUUAGCACUAAUUCUCAUUUCCAUUCGUGGCUUGGUUUUAUUUUCAAUUCUCCUUGGCAAUAUGCAAGUAACUAAUUCCUCAACAUCUCAUGGCCAACAUCAAUUUGAGUCAGCAUAAACCUUUGGAUCCUCUUUUUGAAAGGUAUAUUGGCUCUAAUCCAACUCCCAAGCCCACAAAUAAAUUCAGCCCACAAAUGUAUUUCUUGCAAUAUUUCAAAAUCUGAAUGAUAUUUGUCACAUUGAUGACAGUAACAUUGUUUUCUAAUAUGUGCCACCAAAAAAUUGGAUAUGGGCUGCCUUGCAAUUCUAUUUGUCAUUGAAUUGUUUUUACUCCAUGUUUUAUAUUUACUUGAUAUGGAUUUAUUGAUAGUUUUCAGCAAUGAUUAUUGUAUUUUUCAAAACUGCGAUACUAAUUCCUUACUUGAACUGUUAGGAUUACCUUCAUUCCAACCAUCCAGCAUUAUAGCAUGGCAACAGUUAUUGGACUGUGUCUGCGAGUUAAGCUGAUGUGUUGUUUCCCUCCACAUUUCAAGAGCAAGUGUUUGCUGACCCACAACCAUUGAUCAGAUCUGUUCUCAAUGGUUACAAUGCCUGCAUCUUUGCAUAUGGGCAAACAGGCUCUGGGAAGACAUACACAAUGGAUUUUAAUCAAUUGUGCCUAAAUUUAGGCCUACAAGCACUUCAGCCUUUUAACGCCACUCGUGCUAGGACUAGACCAUAUAGAGGAUUUGUUAUUUUUAUUUUUAAUUCAAGACCAUUUUCAAUUUAUUAUAAUAAAUAUUAUAUUUUUUUUAUUGUGUAGUAAUAUAAACUUUGUUUAAUAUU